rnacentral:sRNA from 1 species
AAUGGUAGUGGGUUAUAAGAACUUAAUAACAUUAGUGUCACUCAAGUUGGUAUUUGAUCCCCCACUGCUAAAUUUUUUU